rnacentral:rRNA from 1 species
AUACGGAGGAUCCGAGCGUUAUCCGGAUUUAUUGGGUUUAAAGGGUGCGCAGGCGGCCAUUUAAGUCAGCGGUUAAAUCGUGGGGCUCAACCCCAUUCUGCCGUUGAUACUGGGUGGCUUGAUUGCGGUCGAGGUUGGCGGAAAUCGUUGUGUAGCGGUGAAAUGCAUAGAUAUGACGAAGAACACCGAUUGCGUAGGCAGCUGACCAGACCGCAAAUGACGCUCAUGCACGAAAGUGCGGGGAUCGAACAGGAUUAGAUACCCUGGUAGUCCGCACAGUAAACGAUGAAUACUUGUUUUCGGCGAUAUAAUGUCGGAGGCAAAGCGAAAGCGAUAAGUAUUCCACCUGGGGAGUACGCCGGCAACGGUGAAACUCAAAUGAAUUGGCGGGG